rnacentral:tRNA from 1 species
ACACCGUUGGUGAAGUGCUUAUCAUGCUUGCCUUCCAUUGCACGACUGAUCGAUUUAGAAAGCAAGCGGCUCGGGCUCGAUUCCCGAACGGUGUA